rnacentral:rRNA from 1 species
UACGUAGGGUGCAAGCGUUAAUCGGAAUUACUGGGCGUAAAGCGUGCGCAGGCGGUUUUGUAAGUCAGAUGUGAAAUCCCCGGGCUUAACCUGGGAACUGCGUUUGAAACUACAAGGCUAGAGUGUGGCAGAGGGGGGUGGAAUUCCACGUGUAGCAGUGAAAUGCGUAGAGAUGUGGAGGAACACCGAUGGCGAAGGCAGCCCCCUGGGUUAACACUGACGCUCAGGCACGAAAGCGUGGGAGCAACAGG